GUUUUAGCAAGUUUGAGGCUUAAUAAUAGAGAAGAGGUCCUUCUUUGUGAUUAUAGUGAUUUAGGGAGGAAGAGAAACAGUAUUUAUGUGUUACCAGAUUAUUUACGUAAAUGACAUAGGACAGUGGUUGACUGACUCUUCAAUCCCCAAUUUAUUUUUACUAUAAAUAAUCCUGGCACGGUGGGUGUAAAUGUCCAUAGCAUCUCUGGCAAAACCUUUCCACAGCUACAAUGUUAUCAUAUUGCUAUAGACGAUGAUUUUGGAAAGCUCAGGAGUAUCUCAAGAAGAAGCUCAGGAAGAAGCUGUAAGCUUGUGGCAGGCAGUACCAAGCUUGGAGGUGUUCUGCACGUUUUGGUCAUGUAAAGGACUCAGUUUGCACUGCUGCCAAUUACCUCAAGCUUCCAUUUGGCAAGCUGGUGCUUCCACUGCCACUGUCUUCUCCCAGGUCUUCCAGGGAGGCAGCUGCCUGAGAAGAUGAACCACGGUGUGAUGAACCAAAUUCUGGCUCCCAGAUUGUUCAUCCUGCUUUAAAAAGGCAGCGCUUUCAAACACAGAAAACCACCCCCGCGGCAGUGGGGCAGCCAGGAUGCUGUGAGCACCGGCGGGCACCAGGCGGCUCCACGGGAGCGUCCAUCCCGCUCUGAGCUGCGGGAGAGCCGAUUUGCAGCUCCGGGAACAGUCGCAUAUAGACAGAGCCCAGCCUGAUGCAAACCUCAGAGAAAGGAUAGAUGAAGGAAGAGAAGAGGUACUCAUCUACGCCCUCAGUUCUUCAAGGGUUUGAAAAAA
ensembl:lncRNA